GCGGGAAUAGCUCAGUGGUAGAGCACAACCUUGCCAAGGUUGGGGUCGCGAGUUCGAAUCUCGUUUCCCGCUCAA
rnacentral:tRNA from 3 species